rnacentral:lncRNA from 1 species
UGUCUUAGUGUCACAACACGAAUGGGAUGAGACUUUCCAUCCUUCCAUUUGAUGCGGACACAGUAUGUACCGGUCUAAGCAUUGUCAGUUUCCCUCCGACAAUCCAAUGACUAGGAACCUUUUGGACAUAAUGGUUAUUUGAAGAAGGUCUCUGUAGUCUAACAUCAUUAGAUUACUUCUUCAAUCGAUCCAUUAUCCAUGGAUACACUAUUUAGGACAUAUAUCAUUUAUUGAGAUAGUCCUAAUUCGUGUCUUUGCCAUUUGAUGUAUAAGAGUCAUCCAUACAUCAAUUCAUUUGUCCUGAAAGGUUUCUUCCAAAGAUUGACUUUCAGGGCAUAUUUCCAACAGUAAGUUUCGCCCAAUUGAGCUUGAAUGGUAGAAAAAUCCAUGUCUUACUUCUCUAGUACCUGAAAUCAAGGAAACAAAACUAAAUCAAAUAUCAAAAGUAAAAGAUAAAUAAAAAAAAAACUAAAUUUAAAAACACUUAACAAGACUCACAAGACUCAAUGCAAACUUAAAAUACUUAAAACAGCUUAAAACAACCAAAUAAACUUAAACUAGGCACUAGGAAUGACUUUGGACGAAAAUUGACUUUUACUUGAAUCAAAACACUUAGAAACACAAACUAAAACAGAUUUGAAACACUUUGAAACAAGAAACUAAAAGGGGGUUUUGAUUUGGAUGAAGUUGAAACAAACAAACAAGUAUGAAAAACUAGACAGAUUGUAAAACAAAUGUGAGAAAUAAGAUGAUGGAUGGGAUAGCUAAAGGCUUUUUCUCCACACAUGACAUGUAUGCAAAUAACUUGAUUUUCAGUUACUACUUCAUUGAAUUAUGAACGACAAUGCUCCAAAUUAACCAUGACAUCACUAGUUAACUCUUAGAUUUUCCUUGUUUUAUUGGAUUGGAUGACAUCAUUCGACAACCCAAAACAUUCUUCUAAAGUUCCCUACAUGACAUCAUAAUAGAGAUACAAUCAAAGAUCAUUACGUUUAAUGAAAAUCAUAAGCAUUGACAAAGCACUUGCAACUAUGACAUCAUGUCACUCAUGCUAGGAUUGAACUUAACGCGAUCGUUUAUAAGCGACCUUCACUACAUGUGAAUAUAAGUUUGUAAUGAUUAUGUGAAACUUCCUUAUAUUCUAGCAACGGAUUUAUGCAUGCCAAUUAAGUGUCGACCCUUAAUUAACAAAUACAAAUAAGUUAUCAAUCAAAUAGUUAAGCCAAUUGCAUUUACGAUUCAAGAGUUCAUAACUGGAAUUUAUCAAAUUAUAUUGCACACAUAAUCAUGGCUUUGAAAUCACCCCUAGCCAAGAGGGGUUUAGCCACUCAUAUUUACAACAAAACAAAAGGAAAUGAAUUUAAACAUUAGAAACAAAAGAAAGAAAACACCUAAACGCUCCAACGAUCCAAGUUGGACAGCAAGCACGUCCAAGCACUUUCCUUCCCUUCCUUUGCUACGGCACAAGGUGUUGAUGAGUGUUUGAAGGUUUGUUUGUAUGGAGGAAUGGAUGUGAAGAUGAAUGGAUGUGUUUGGAUGAAGGUUGUGUUGAAAUGGGAGUGAAUGAUCUAACCAAGUAUAUCCAAAUUUAUGUUACACACACUUCCUUUUAUAGAGGAAGUGCAUGGCAAUGGAGGGGAACAUGAAAUGGUGUAGCAAUUGAGUGCAAUGAUGCAUGAAAUCUAAAAUGAUGGAAGGAACAAGGAAUGGUGUAGCAAUUGAGUGCAAUGAUUCAAUGUAAUGAUGCAUGAAAUCUGAAAUGAUGGAGGGAACAAGGAAUGGUGUAGCAAUUGAGUGCAAUGAUUCAUUGCAAUGAUUCAAUGUAAUGAUGCAUGAAUCUGAAAUGAUGGAGGGAACAAGGAAUGGUGUAGCAAUUGAGUGCAAUGAUUCAAUGUAAUGAUGCAUGAAAUCUGAAAUAAUGAAGGGACCAAGGGUGAUGAUGCAUGGCAUGUGUGGAAAUUGGAGUGAUUUAUGGCAGAAAAUAGGAAAGGGAUGGCUCCCUUGCACGGCAAGGAAGAGAAAUGGUGAAGGAUGAUAUGGCUUGGACUUUUUAGGCAGGUUUAGGACUUGUAGAAUAUGUAUUGAAAUGUCCCAAAGUAUUUAGAAAUCCUUCGUGUGACCGAAUCUUUGGUAAUUUAGAUUAGAAAAGGUAAAGACAAGAUAAGGUAAGUUUGACUAGUCUUUCCUCUUUCUUGAUGGUUUCCUUGUCUUCCUUGGUCCUCUAUUUAUUUUCUUCCUCUCCUAGGCACAUUCCUAACUUCUUUAGAUCUUUAAUUUCGUCCAACCAUUUUGCUCCAUGCAUGUGCUAUCCAUUCCAAGCCUAAAACUGCUCCAAAAUGCACCUUAUUGCAUACUUUGUCCUUAGAACCUGAAAUUGCACGAAAAUGACUUUAAACACUAAAACAACUAAGGAAUAACAACAUAAAUGCAUGAGAACAAGCUAACUCAGUUGCAUAAAUAUGCUCCUAUCAGGCACGUGAACCAAAAAAAGGUAACAACCUAUUAGUUGAAAUGGGAAUUGUAAUUGGAAUAGGUGGCUCACCAAUGUAUUGCAAUGAAGACUCUAAAGUAGCAGCACUGUCAACAAUUUCAUAAGUGCUCUUAGCCAGAUUAGGUAAUUUGAGGGUAGUAGGGUGUCCCUUGUGAUCCACUUCAAUUCCCUCUUUGAUGGUGGUUCGAAAUACAUCCUUCUUGAUAGGUGUUGAACAUUCCUGCCCUAUAUUUUUAUUCACAUCAAUGGCAUAUGAUAGGAGCAUAUUUAUGCGACUUAGUUGGCUUGUUCUUAAGCAUUUAUGUUGUUUUUCUUUAGUU